UUUUCAUCUUGGUCUUCUUGUUUCUUUCAGUCCAUGAGCGCUGGACCACUAGCUCAAGAGCAAGGCCUUCUUCAAGGUACCAAACAGAUCAGCUACAGAUCUUUCAUAUCUUCUGUUGGAUGCCAUGAUGACUUCUGUGCUUAAUUAUGAAAUUCAAUCAAAAGAUAUAUGGAUGAUUCUAUGGUUUGUGGCAAGUAUACUGCAAUCAUGAUGAUGAUGUUCCCGUUGAUGAUGAUGAUGAUGAUG